rnacentral:rRNA from 1 species
CGCUGGCGGCAGGCCUAACACAUGCAAGUCGAGCGGAUGAGAGGAGCUUGCUCCUGGAUUCAGCGGCGGACGGGUGAGUAAUGCCUAGGAAUCUGCCUGGUAGUGGGGGACAACGUUUCGAAAGGAACGCUAAUACCGCAUACGUCCUACGGGAGAAAGCAGGGGACCUUCGGGCCUUGCGCUAUCAGAUGAGCCUAGGUCGGAUUAGCUAGUUGGUGAGGUAAUGGCUCACCAAGGCGACGAUCCGUAACUGGUCUGAGAGGAUGAUCAGUCACACUGGAACUGAGACACGGUCCAGACUCCUACGGGAGGCAGCAGUGGGGAAUAUUGGACAAUGGGCGAAAGCCUGAUCCAGCCAUGCCGCGUGUGUGAAGAAGGUCUUCGGAUUGUAAAGCACUUUAAGUUGGGAGGAAGGGUUGUAAAUUAAUACUCUGCUGUUUUGACGUUACCGACAGAAUAAGCACCGGCUAACUCUGUGCCAGCAGCCGCGGUAAUACAGAGGGUGCAAGCGUUAAUCGGAAUUACUGGGCGUAAAGCGCGCGUAGGUGGUUCGUUAAGUUGGAUGUGAAAUCCCCGGGCUCAACCUGGGAACUGCAUUCAAAACUGUCGAGCUAGAGUAUGGUAGAGGGUGGUGGAAUUUCCUGUGUAGCGGUGAAAUGCGUAGAUAUAGGAAGGAACACCAGUGG